GCAAUAGCUGAUUGCAUUUAAUUUAAUGUAGUUACUACUUGGUAGUUUAAAUUUCUAGGUAGAAUUAUGAUGAUGACAUUAUCUAUCUAUUAGUCUUGACCAAAUUACGUGCCAGCAGUCGCGGUAAUACGUAGAAGACAAGUGUUAUUCAUCUUUAUUAGGUUUAAAGAGUACCAAGACGGUUAAUAAAGCCCAAAAGAAAUGAAUACGGGGGACACAUUAACUAGAGUUAUAUGAAAGGAAGCUAUAAGGUACUGUUGAGUGUAGAGAUGAAAUUUAAUGAUACCAGAUGAUUGGCACAGAUUUAUGCGAAGGCAUCUUCUUAUGUAAUAACUGACGUUGUAGGACGAAGGCUUAGGAAGUGAACAGGAUUAGGUACCCCAGUAAUCUAGGCAGAAAAUGAUGAAUGUCAUAGGUUGAAUUUUUGUGUCUAUAAAUGAAAGUGUAAGCAUUCCACCUCAAGAGUAAUUUGGCAACAUUGGAACUGAAAUCAUUAGACCGUUUCUGAAACCAGUAGUGAAGUAUGUUGUUUAAUUAGAUGAUACACAAAAACCUUACCACAAUUUGAAUAUAUAUAAAAUAUAUUUACAAGCGCUGCACGGCUGUCUACAGUUAAUGUCGUGAGACUUUGGUUAGCUCCAUUAAAUUAACGUAAACCCUAAUUUUAUUUAUAAAUAUAAU
rnacentral:rRNA from 1 species